GAGCACAUUCAGUUGACAGUGUAACAAACAAAAUCGAAGCAAAACAAAAACAUCAUCAGCAGUGUGUCACUUUUGUUAAAUUUGGUAAGCCUUCUGUUAAAUUAAGACCAGCACGAUGCCCUGGAGCACACUUCCGCCGGAAGUGCUGGCGAAAAUCUCCAACAUUCGCUUCCGGGAUCGCGUGGUUUUCGCUGGUGUGCCGCCAAUGGAACGACGUGAUCUUUGGAUUGUGCCCAUCAGCGGACUACCUGUUGCCUUUGAGAAGCUACAGCUACAGCGAUCUUUGCAUCGACCAUGUGCCAUCGUUACUUAGAAGCAGUGCCCGCCGUUAUCGUAACCUGGAGGUGAACUGGGAGGAAUCGGAACUACGUCCAGAUAAUCGUGAAGAUACGUUUUUUACGCAUUUAGAUCAAGCUCUAGUGAUUCUUGCUGAAAAGGGAUCCAUCAAAUGCCUUUGGUUAACCGCGCCUCUUGAUCAACGAAUGGUUCGUUUUUUCGCCAAACACGAAGCCCUUAUUGACUCGUUGGAAGAGCUCUGGGUAACAAUAAGUACCAAAUGCUUUACAUACACAGUUAGCAACACCAAGUGGACACCAGUUCAGGGUAGGCUUAGCAAUUUGCGCAGUCUAAAAUGGGAUGAAUACGAAAACUAUACUGGGGAAAUUUUUAAAGAUUUUAUAUUCGGCUUAAGCAUGCCCAAAGUUACAAAAGUAAAGUUGCGCAGAGGUCACGACUUUGAAAGCAGAGAUAGAAGCUUGAUCGAGUUAAGGGAUGCUGAAAAUGUCUGCGAACUGACUGUUGCCAACCUUGAAGAGUACUGUUCAAGACAAUAUUUCAAAGUGGCUCGACCAAAGCUGUGUCGCCUACGGUUAAACAACACGUUGAAUAAAAUGGCAAAUCAGGAGCUGCUGGAAAUCGCAAGUAAUCUUCCUAAUGUGCAACAUUUAAAUAUCAGCAUGGUGUGGAUAGAUUUUGCAACGUCCUUAUCGCUAGCAUCGAUGUUACAAUCUUUAACAGAACUAACGAUGGAUUUGCACUUGGUAAACCUAACACAUUUUUCUAAAAAGCUACAAGAUAUCCACGGUCUCACCAUUCUUCAUCUAAACUGUCAUAGCAGGUGUACUGUUGAGGAGAGCAUCCAAAUCGAACUUCUUAAGUUGGUAGAAUUUCGCUGCCGGUACGAAAUAAACGAAUCCGAUAGCCGUGUAUUUCUCUUCUGUCCGCGAAUUGCCGUAUUCGAGCAGACAAGCGAUGUCAGUAACGGCGGCAAUGCCAUCUUCUUUCAGCUACAAAGCUUCUGAUUUGGACGCAUUUUCUACACAACUCUUUGAGGGACAAAUCGAACGACGAUUGUGUAUCACCAAAUAAGGAAAGGCAAAUCCUCUGGUAAGAUUACAGAUAGGCUGAAGUCAAACUAUUUACUAUAUAUUUUAUAUUAUUUUUCUAAAAGAAACUAACAGUGUUGACAUCUUUAUAUAAAGAAAUUUUAAUUUAAACAAUUGUUUUAAAGAUUUUAAUCACACUCCCAAUAAACUUCAAAUAAAGAUAUAAAAUAACCAAAAAAAAGUGGAAAAGAUGUAAAAGAUCUUGCAACCAUGCAUGUCUAAAAAAUGUAAAGCUUACUUGAAAUAUACAGAACUUGUCACUAGAUUUAAAAAUACAAUUCAGAUCAAAAAGAAAAAAAAUCCGGAUUACCUUUUUUUAUUUAUGGUUUUGAGAUCAGCUCUAUGGGAAAUGUAAAAAAAGUUUAUUCCUAAAUUCAACCCAUAUUUCAAACAAUAAAAAUGUAAUUUAAGUAAUCACAUAUGGAAUUUAAAAAAAGAAUCUCGUUCGUGAAUUUCUCUUACCUGACCUCUUACCUUGUCGGGGUCGAGGGAAGGGGACAGAAAAAUAUAAAAAUUAAAAAAAAAACAAGCCACAGCCUAACAUUUGAAAGACAUAAGUGUUUUUAAAUGCAUUUUACACUAGUUCAGUUCCUUGCAAUCAUUAGUUUUCAAAAAAAGUAAGAUUUGACGAAAAUGAACAUUUUAGCGAAAAAAACUGGUUGCGGUACUGUAUUGGGGAAAUUUUCGUACUUUUGGCAGGUUAAGCACUCACUCCUAACUCCAUCCAAUUGGAUGAUUUUCACUAUUGAAACAAUUUAUUUUGCAAAACUAUUAAGCUAAUAAUCACUCACUUUUGAAAACACUUUUUAAGCUAUAAUUAUAAUUGAACGUCAAAGUGCUGAUAUGGCAAUAUAAGAAGCACGAUUGAAUUAGAUGAUGUUCCAGUAUCUAAUUGUGUUUAUACAAAUUCAAGAGAUUUUUAAAUAAACCCAAAUGAUUCUGAAUGCAGGAGAAUGCAUUUUAAAUUGAUUUCAGCUGAAUGCACUUCAACUUUCUUGGAAUUUUCGAGGUUUCCUGUAAAAAAAAUGAUUGCCCUGGAUUUUUCGACCCGAAUUCCAAAAAUAUUUGUACCAGCCUUAAGCCUCAUAUUAAUCUUUGUGUACAACAGGAGGCCGUGAUGUAGGGGUAAGCGUGGUUGCCUCUCCCCAGUCGGCUCGGGUUCG
rnacentral:misc_RNA from 1 species